CUGGUGUCCAUGGAUGUGGUGGACACAGAGAUUCCCGCUUACAGGAAGGGGCAUGUUGAGAGAUUUGGAAAGGCCUUGUGUCUGAGGCAGUGCAUCUGGUCGGGGCCAGAGGACAUGUGCAGAACAAUGGCUUCAGAGCCACACAGGGGCAACUACGGCACACAUGAGUCACUGGGCCCCCUCCCUCGAUGUCUCGGUUUCCAUGACUGCGACUGUGACCUGAGGAUGGGCAUAACGCUUUUAUCUUCACAUUGCUCAACACAUCCCUUUUCCAGAACUAUCUUUUAGGAAAAUCAGAUUUGCUCUCUAAUGGAAAAAUACAGCUUGUAAAUGAGCUAAAGAAGAGAUAGAUAAUUUACGACAUAGUUGAAUCUGCAUACAAACUGAAAGAAAAAUGCUGAAUCAAAUGCCAGGUUGUCACCGUUUUCUUCUGAAAUUCACAUCAAGUGUUCUCAAGGAGAGAUGACCAAGCCUGGGGCUUCCAUCCCGGCUCGCAGGUCUGUUUAGUUUCUACGGUGUCCCCAGCUCCAUUGCAUCUUCUCAGGAAGUUUUCCUGACGGAAGGAUGGCUCCCAUGUCUCUCACGCCCAGAUACAUUGAUCCCUCUCCUGUCGGUGACCCUACUUGGUAGCACAUUACUUUAAACGCCCAUUACUAUUAACAUUAACGAAUGGUUAAUUACAACAGAAUUCCUAUCGAAGUGCAUAAGAGAGCCAUAUGAAUGCCAAAUGAGUACAUUAAUGAUUGGUGUUAUCACAAUGAAUACGAAAUGAUUUCAUAAUGACUGGGGAGGUAAUAUAUAAUAAAAAAGGAUUGCUCCCACUUUUAUACACUUAUCACAGAUUUAAAACUCAUUCUUGGCCUCCAUUCAGAAACCGUGAGUUACCUGAGAGCUUUUUCCUGAAGAUUUCUAGGGACCUGUAUGUCCUCCAUCAAAAUCUGAACACUGUUACUCAUCACUGAGUUAAACUUUGAGGGUAAAUGUCCUAGACCAGGAGAUAUUGAACUGGGCUUUAAGGAGAAAGGGGUGUAUUGGUAAGUUGAUAACAGGUUGGGAGAAGGGCCAUUUCUACUAGAAAUCACAGCAUAAGCAGAAGCAGGGAGGCAUGAAAUCAUGCUUUGUGUUUGGAGAAUGAAAUGUAGAAGACAUGAGAUGGGGCAGUUGGAAGCAAAGCCAUAAUUACAGAAUGGAGCCAGAAGUAUUUGUCAAAGUCUUAGACAUUUUAGGAUUCCUUUCUUCUCAAAUUUUGCAUAAAAUAUGAAUUUAUGAAUCCAAGAAACUCAGCAAACCUCAAGCAGAAUAAAAAUCAAAGAAAACAACAUGGAGCCACAUCGAAGUCAAACUGCUCAAACAUAAAGGUGAAAGUGAAGUGCUGAAAGCAGCAGAGAAAACCAGGUCUUGCUGGAAUACAAGGGUCCAAGUGGCAGCUGACUCUUCAUCUGCAGCAACGAGCCCAGAACAUGACAGAAUCACUUCUGCAAAGGGUUAUGAAGGAACACUCUAACCAGAAUUCUAUAUCUAGCCAAACCAUCUCUCAAAUGAAGAGGAAAUAAAGACAGUUAAUAGAGAACAGAGAGAGUGUGUCUCCAGCAUAACUGCUCUACAAGGGAGGCUGAAGGAAAUGACAUGGAUGAAAAGUAGAUUUUCAGGAAGAAAGGAAGAAGAACAGAAAUGAUGACUAUGGGUAAAAGCUUAUACACACAUAUAUAUACC
rnacentral:lncRNA from 9 species